CACAACAUUUAGGGGCCACACUCCACACUUGGUGUUUACUUUCCUCCUGGUAAAUACGCCCUCCCUUCCUGCGUGGGGACCGCUCCCCACAGCCCCCACCCCCACUUACCCCCGCCCGGAACCAACGUAGAUGUUGCCGUGACCCCGCCCAAUUCGGCAGGCAACAGGUGGAAAGUUGAAUAACUUCACACGUUUUUUUACGGAGGGGGGUGGGCUGGAGGGAAGGCUUUUGGGAGCCGAUUUAAGGAUUAGAUCAGAUGUUAUUGCUAGUGAAAAAUUAAACAGCCCGGUGCUCUGGGGAGUACAGAUUAAUAUAUUUAGUGACUCUGCACACAAAGGCUGCUCAUUGUAGCCACGUCUGAAUGCCUGUGAAUAGGACGGAACAUAUGCAGCCUGUCACCGCAGGUGCCCACAUCUGUUCUUCCCCGGGCAGAUGCUCACAGAAAAGGGGAAAUGGGGAGGCCAGGGGAGGACAUCGCACUCGAAAGCCUCCACGGUCGCCUCGUCCUGGGAUCCUCGGGAGUGGCCUUGGAAGGUGCCAAGCCGAGCCGCACGUUCGGAGGCGGAAAGUUCGGAGGGGCUUCGAGCAGCUGCCGCGGUAAUCUGAUCCCGGGACAAAGGCGCGCCCGCCGGUGCUGCGGCCACAGGUAAACACGCGCUUUGUCAUGGAGAUGAGCGCAGGACAGCCCGGAGCAGAUGACCCGCGGUUCCGAGGGGAAGGCGGCGGGCGGGCGACCCGUCAUCUGCGAGGAGGCCGCCAGCUGAGCCACGCGACUCCCCCUUUCUCAUGCAAAUGAGCACAUGCCUUUGCAACUUUCUGCGGACCUGCCACGUCCACCUCAGAUCCACACACCCGAGCCGCCUGUCCCAUUAAAGAAGAAAAAAAUCUAUGACACACGUCAUAACCCUUCGGCACAGAACAAGUUCCGACCCUCGGCCCACGCACGGGUCCCAGGACGCGUCCGCAGGGAAGGCUGGUGGGGGACACUCCAGGCAUCUGUGGGACCACAGGCCCUGUGGAUGCGCUGCGCAGAGGGCAGAGGCGCUCUGGGUGUCGCUCACCUGUGCCUGCUGACCAGUAAGAGGGAAGCGCUUACCUACUAAACAUCAUCCUGGAGCCCUUCGGGUCCAGGUUAGAAAUAAAGGUCCAGAUAUAACCACAAUCGAUUGUGAACUCCUCUGUGUGUUCAUUUGGGUGGGUGUGGCUGUUUAAU
rnacentral:lncRNA from 1 species